CAGAACACUUCCAUUGCCCCC
rnacentral:piRNA from 1 species